CUCCAGGUCCGUGAGAGUGAGCAGGAUGUCAUCUGCGUACGCAGAUACUUUAUACUGCUCUGUUGCUAUUGUCAGUCCCUUUAUGUUUGGGUGUUUCCUAAUCUUGUAGAGGAGGGGUUCUAGGGCUAGUAUGAAGAGGAGCGGCGAGAGAGGGCAGCCCUGCCUUGUGCCGUUACUUAGCUGAAAUGGUUUUGGGAUCGCUCCUGGUAUGGCUAUUUGGGCCUGUGGAUUCGUGUACAGAGCUUUUACCGCUGUGAUGUAGUUUUCUGGUAGGCCUAUGUGACGCAAUAGGGCGAACAAGUAAUACCAUUGGAUCCUGUCGAAGGCCUUCUCCGCGUCCAGCGAUAGGACGAGAGAAGGCGCCCGAGUUUUACCGGCCCACCAGAUCAGGUCCACUGCACGUCUAGUGUUCUCAUACAGUUGCCUAUUGGCACAAAGCCCACCUGGUCCGCGUGGACCAGCCUGGGCAGGAUGUGACCCAGCCUGGUGGCCAAGAUCUUGGCGUAGAUUUUGGAGUCUAUAUUAAUCGGGGAGAUGGGG